rnacentral:rRNA from 1 species
GAUGAACGCUGGCGGCGUGCCUAAUACAUGCAAGUCGAGCGAAUGGAUUAAGAGCUUGCUCUUAUGAAGUUAGCGGCGGACGGGUGAGUAACACGUGGGUAACCUGCCCAUAAGACUGGGAUAACUCCGGGAAACCGGGGCUAAUACCGGAUAACAUUUUGAACCGCAUGGUUCGAAAUUGAAAGGCGGCUUCGGCUGUCACUUAUGGAUGGACCCGCGUCGCAUUAGCUAGUUGGUGAGGUAACGGCUCACCAAGGCAACGAUGCGUAGCCGACCGGAGAGGGUGAGCGGCAACACUGGGACUGAGACACGGCCCAGACUCCGACGGGAGGCAGCAGUAGGGAAUCUUCCGCAAUGGACGAAAGUCUGACGGAGCAACGCCGCGUGAGUGAUGAAGGCUUUCGGGUCGUAAAACUCUGUUGUUAGGGAAGAACAAGUGCUAGUUGAAUAAGCUGACACCUUGACGGUACCUAACCAGAAAGCCACGGCUAACUACGUGCCAGCAGCCGCAGUAA